rnacentral:rRNA from 1 species
CUCUCGACCCCAAAGUCGCUUGGUGGUAUGGGUUUUCGGGAUAUGGUGUUGUUCAAUCAGGCAAUGCUUGGUAAGCAGAGAUGGCGGCUCUUCACUUAACCUGAUUCGCUUUGUGCUCGUGUUCUGAAGGGCAGAUACUUUCCGACAGGGGACUUUUGGAACACCACGAUGCCACGAACUGCCUCGGCGACCUGGCGUGGUAUCCUAAAUGGC